UACGAAGGGGGCUAGCGUUGCUCGGAAUCACUGGGCGUAAAGCGCACGUAGGCGGCUUUUUAAGUCAGGGGUGAAAUCCUGGAGCUCAACUCCAGAACUGCCUUUGAUACUGAGAAGCUUGAGUCCGGGAGAGGUGAGUGGAACUGCGAGUGUAGAGGUGAAAUUCGUAGAUAUUCGCAAGAACACCAGUGGCGAGGGCGGCUCACUGGCCCGGUACUGACGCUGAGGUGCGAAAGCGUGGGGAGCAAACAGG
rnacentral:rRNA from 1 species